GUCUUUAAAGCUGUUGAUGCAUGUAAGAAUGUUCUGAGAGGUUUACAUGACAGCAAGAUUGCCCAAAGGGAGCUGGAUCGGCGAUCACAAUAGCUGUCACAAUUGUAGAGAUUCUGAAGAAAAAAGGGCUGGCUAUUGAGAAGAGGAUUUUGAUGUCUAUAGUCGACAUGAAGGAUGAAUCUAAGGGUCAUCUCAUUCCAAAAGCGAAGAUUGAGGUAUUGCUGGGGAAGACUGAGAAAUUCGAUGAUCUGAUGGUUGUCGUUGCUGCCAAAGGGAGGCAGUUGGAGACAAUAAAGCAUGAUGGCAAACCAUAGUUCUGGAAUUCCAUCAUAUUUUGAUUUUCAUUUCUUUUUUGCUCCUGGUGUCCUGUUUAAGUGAUAGAGGUUGGGGAAUUUUCAAGUAGAGUUGCUGCUGUCAUUAAUGGAAAAGAGCAGAGUUGAGAGAGGCACUGUGCGUGUAGACAUCUUGGGAUCAUUUCAUCUGUAUGGCCCUUUUCUUUUCUCCUUUUAUGGGAGUUUUUGAUGAUACAGACAAUCUGUUGUUUGGUGGUCAGACUACUGUUGUAUUGUUUGAGUCCUGUUUUUGCAUCUUCCUUUGACUGAUGCUGACUGAUUGAUAGCAAACAGUAAAAGCUUUGGUGAUCUUCCA